UACGUAGGGGGCUAGCGUUGUCCGGAUUUAUUGGGCGUAAAGAGCGUGUAGGCGGCCAGGUAGGUCUGCUGUGAAAACUCGAGGCUCAACCUCGAGACGUCGGCGGAAACCAUCUGGCUAGAGUCCGGUAGGGGAGCAUGGAAUUCCCGGUGUAGCGGUGAAAUGCGCAGAUAUCGGGAGGAACACCAGUGGCGAAGGCGGUGCUCUGGGCCGGAACUGACGCUGAGGAGCGAAAGCGUGGGUAGCAAACAGG
rnacentral:rRNA from 1 species